rnacentral:rRNA from 1 species
CAAUAGCGUAUAUUAAAGUUGCUGCAGUUAAAAAGCUCGUAGUUGGAUCUCGGUAACAUUGUGGCCUGCCAUUGCUGAACACAGUCAGCCAAAUGUAUAGCACCCCGUGUGUUUGCUUUGGUUUACCGUGUUGAGUUGGUUGGGUGAUGGUGUUGCCUUAUAGCCAUGUCUGUGGUGUAAUAGCCACAGGUGUAUGCGAGUGUCAGGCGGCGCGUUGCUUUUUGUGGCGUCCGUCGGCUUGUGUGCAUGCCUACAGAUGCCCUUUAAAAGGUGUCUGUCGGCGGAUGGCACGUUUACUUUGAACAAAUUUGAGUGCUCAAACCAGGCCGAUGUUGCCUGAAAAGUUUUGCAUGGAAUAAUGGAAUAGGACUUCGGUUCUAUUUUGUUGGUUUUCGGAUCCGAAGUAAUGAUCAAAAGAGACAGGCGGGGACGUUUGUAUGGCUGCGCUAGAGGUGAAAUUCAUGGACCGGAGCCAGACAAACUAAAGCGAAAGCAUUCGUCAAGCAUGUUUUCAUUGACCAUGAGCGAAAGUCAGAGGCUCGAAGACGAUCAGAUACC